GAUGAACGCUGGCGGCGUGCCUAACACAUGCAAGUCGAGCGAUUCUCUUCGGAGAAGAGCGGCGGACGGGUGAGUAACGCGUGGGUAACAUGCCCUGUACACACGGAUAACAUACCGAAAGGUAUGCUAAUACGGGAUAAUAUGCUUUAGUCGCAUGGCUGAAGUAUCAAAGCUCCGGCGGUACAGGAUGGACCCGCGUCUGAUUAGCUAGUUGGUAAGGUAAUGGCUUACCUAGGCGACGAUCAGUAGCCGACCUGAGAGGGUGAUCGGCCACAUUGGAACUGAGACACGGUCCAAACUCCUACGGGAGGCAGCAGUGGGGAAUAUUGCACAAUGGGCGAAAGCCUGAUGCAGCAACGCCGCGUGAGCGAUGAAGGCCUUCGGGUCGUAAAGCUCUGUCCUCAAGGAAGAUAAUGACGGUACUUGAGGAGGAAGCCCCGGCUAACUACGUGCCAGCAGCCGCGGUAA
rnacentral:rRNA from 1 species